rnacentral:snRNA from 1 species
UAUCACUCUCUGCUUUUACUUGC